GGAGAGUACAGCUCAGUGGCAGAGCAUGUGCUUAGCAUGCACGAGGUUCUGGGUUCAAUCUCCAGUACCUCCA
rnacentral:tRNA from 1 species